GCUACCUCGUUUAAUUCGAGAGAGCAGUCUGUGGUUGGAGUCGUGGUGGUGGUAGCUGCGUGCGUUCUGUAUGCUGGUGUCGCCUCCGCUGGACGGCCAGCGACGAGCGUUAGCAUGGACCUGCUCCAUGGAAGAGGCAGAAUCAGAAGAAAGCUUCUCGAGAACGGCCUCGGUUUGACUCCUCAAAUGGGAUGGAAUAGCUGGAACCACUUUCAGUGUAACAUCAACGAAAAUUUGAUAAAGGAAACAGCGGAUGCGAUGGUCUCAUCCGGACUUGCUGCACUAGGAUAUGAGUAUGUAAACUUAGAUGAUUGCUGGGGUGAGCUUAACAGAGAUUCUCAGG